AAAAAAAAACAAAACAAAACAAAGCUAGCCUUAACAAAAUUAGAAACACGGCAGCCCCACCCAAUUAUUUCCCCAAAUUGACAGCAGCUUCUUCAUCUUAACCUCUUCUACAUCAAUUUUUUUCUUCUCCCCCAAAGAACUACACUAUAUACCCACCAUAAACUACAAUUAUUGGAAGAAAAUGCUGGAUGGUUUCAAGUGGGAAGCUUUUGGAUAGUUUUGGGUGUUAGGGUUUAUGCUCUAAGAGAUGAGAAGAGUACCCACCCAAUAAAGAGUAUUCACUUGAGCUCAAUGAGACUUGCCGAUCACGGACUCAUCCGGGCAUCUUGAAGUUGUUGGGAGCACUCCUCUUGAUCCUUCAUAGUUAUUCACAGGUAGCCGAGUAGGAGGUUGCUUCAGUUGCAGCUUGUACAGUUACUUCUUUUUGGUAGGCCUCCUACGGUUGGUGGCCAUGUUGAUGUCUUUUGUUGAUCUUUUUGGUAUUCUGUGUAGUAGUCAUAUUUUGUAAAGUGUAAACAACUCUAUGAUGUAUUUGAUGAUGUUGCUUCUUGGAUGUUGGAUAUGUACAUAUUUGGAUCCUUGGUUGGAUUUUAAACCUCAUUGGCAGGUCUUGUUAUUUUGGGAAAUGUAGAAAAACAAAGGAAACUCUGUCCAAUUAUCGUUUGAGCUUCGUAAGCAUGUUUCUUUCUUUAUAA